GCAAAGGGUGACUGACCUUCUCAAAGUGUAAGGUUCGACUUGCAAAUAGAAAAGAGAAAUAUCGAAAGUUGUAGAACUUGGUUAGGUGGGUGAACUUUUGAUGCUCAAGUCAGAUUGAAUUUUUAUAAAAUAGUGAAGAUAUGAGAGUACGAAUUAUAAAAGAUGAAAUGGUGUGAGAGUAAACAUAUCAAGAGAUUCCUAUAAAAAUUGAGGCACGG
rnacentral:lncRNA from 1 species